UACCAGCACCCCGAGUGGUCGGGACGUUUAUUGGGCCAAAAGCAUCCGUAGCCGGUUCUACAAGUCUUCCGUUAAAUCCACCUGCUUAACAGAUGGGCUGCGGAAGAUACUAUAGAGCUAGGAGGCGGGAGAGGCAAGCGGUACUCGAUGGGUAGGGGUAAAAUCCGUUGAUCCAUUGAAGACCACCAGUGGCGAAGGCGGCUUGCCAGAACGCGCUCGACGGUGAGGGAUGAAAGCUGGGGGAGCAAACCGG
rnacentral:rRNA from 1 species